ensembl:lncRNA
GGAGACUGGACUUUUUCCUUUUACAAUGAAGAACUGCUGCUUAAAAGCUCAGAGACUCGCUGUGUGGCUUUGGGAAAGCAACCGAACCUCUGUUUCUGCGCUUACAUGAAGCAGGGCUUGUAUGGAAUGUAACUCCUUGCUGGGAGAGUCCAGCGAGGGAGAGUGACGUCCCAGCCUGGUGCAGCUAACAGCAGGUGCAGUGGCCACCACCGCCAACGCUGCCAUUCUUACUACUAGGUAGAUGCACGUAGUAGGAUCCACGGAGCAGAUUCUCAAGGAUUUGAAAAAAAGAAAAAAACUAUAAAAGCAUCAUCUGGAUGCAGAUGAGUGUUCUGUUUAUGGUUCAGAGUCCUAGAUAGGUAUCUUCACUCCACCAAGUCAGGAGAGACAGACAAUUAGCAAUUGAUUAUGCAUAGCACAGGUCAGGUAGCGAUAAAUGCUACGAAGAGGACCAAAGCAGAGGGAAGAGACAGAGGGUGAGGGAGGAGGGGAGGACAGUUAUUUGAUGUAAGGUAUUCAGAGAAACGUCCCUGACAAGCGUCACUGGAGCAAAGUCCCAAAGGAAGAAGAGAGCAACAGUGACUGAAACUGGUGAUGGGAAAGUAGCGCUUUGGAAGGCUGCUCACAGGCACUUUGUCCAGGAAGCGAGGGCCUUGCGUGCGGCCACACGGACUGCAAGCAGUUCCCAUCAGAUGCUCCACCGGACGGCCUGGGAGGAACGGCCCUGAGGGCUCCUGUUCCUGCGUGCACCCUUGACUCUUCCCCUGCCUCCGACACAAGGAAGUUGGAGCCGUUCUGGAAGCUGGAAGCUGCUCUUCUGCCCGAUACUGGUUUGAGAGGCAGUCAGGAGGGCUCCACCCCUGUCAACAGGACAAAAGUCCCAGAGUCGAGAGCUCGGCUGGGCCACUUCCUGAGGGAGAUGCAGCUCCAUGAGGCCUGGAGGCUGAGGAGAGUCAGGAGGAGACGCUGGAGAGGAGGGCCCAGCGUGGCCCAGCCUGCCCUGCGGCUCCUGGGGCUGCAGGUGCCAGUCGCACCUUCAGGGCUGCGGUUGGGUGUCCUCCACGGCGCUUGCGAGGGGGACCUUGAGGUUUCUUCUGGCCUCGGCUUCCUCUCACAACAACAAGGGUUGGUUCCUCGAAGGGCAAGGAUGCAUCACUGUUCGUGAUUUUCCAUCUCGGCUGCCUCUCGGCCUUCCCUGCUUGGGUGGCUCUUAACCCACAACCAAGGAACCCAGUGUCCUCUGGAUCUGGUUCUGCAUGCACUCUCCCAGCUCCUGCUGGUACAUGUUUCCUGGGUCCUGACGCUCGUUUGCUGACAGGUCCUUCCUUCCUCGUCAGACCCUGAGCUUCUCCAGCUGCGUGACACUGAUGUCGUGGAGGAGCAGAGCUGGAGCAGAUCACUGGGGAAUCCGUGUCGUCAUACAGACAUCUCUGCGUCAUGUUCCAGCACAGAUAGAGCAUUUGCCUUCAACAGGGAGAAGAAGGACACCUCUUCGGGUCCAGAAGAUGUAGGGAAACCUGAGGUUCAAGAAUUUGAGUGUAUUGAUCAGAUGACCCUCCCUGAAGCCUCAGGGUCUCCCUUCUUCCCAACCAGGUCCUGACAUUGGGCAGCAGCCUCCCUUGGGUUGAGGGCUGCUGUCUUUAGGACUGAGUCUUGAUCCACGGCUCUUUUUGGUUCUCUGGCUGCAGGAGAGGAGAGUGUCUAUAUGGCACCAAGGAAGCCCUCUUUUUGUCACUUUUUUUUAAAAUUGGAGAUCUUUUCAUUGCCUUGUUCUUGGCAAGAGCUGCCUGAUUCCGUAAUGCAGAUGGUUGCUGCUCUUCCCAGCCACUCCGAUGCCCUGGAUGCGGCACCCAGCAGUGUGUUUCUUUCAUUGGGCUUCCACCCUGGCUCAGUGCUACUACUGCCUGGCAGGGCUGUGGUGCCACCAGUGAUGUGCCACUUGGCAUUCUGUGCUCAACCCCACCAUACAGGCUGCUCCUGGAACACUUCUGGCCCCACCAUCUUCUGCUGGGCUCCCCUGGACACAAACUCUGAAGCAGAGGUUUGUGUGCAAGAGGUUAUUGGGAGUGUUCUCGGAAGAAAAGUCCUGUGAGCGUGGGAGGGAAGAAGGAUCGGGCAGAGGAGUAUCUUGACCACUGUGCAGGUCUGUGGGGCCUCGGCUGACCCUCUGAGAUGCUCAGCAGCUGGGGCUGCUGGUUAGUUGUCUUGAUGGAGGCAGAGCCUUGGUCUUGGGGACUGGGGGCAUCUGGAUGGCGCACGACAGCACACCCUACAGAAGCCUCUGAGGUCUCAGAGUUAGAGGCAGCAACGGUGGAGUUUGAGCCAAGGAAAAGCUGCUGUCCUAACUUGCAUGUUAAACUCGCAGUAAACACCAUGUAUGGAGGUCUUGACGGGAUGAAGUCAAGCAGGUGACGAGGACCUGGAAGGAGACUCAGGUAGCCACGGUGAAGAAUGCUUAGUAACCCUUUUCACGUGUACCUAAGCCUUUUUUUUUAGGAAAUGAGGAUAAAACAGUGAAAAACCAGGCCUUGUCUUCAGGAAGCUUGUGUUCUGGUGUGUGCAGGGUGUGUGUGGGCUACCCAGAUGGGGGAGGGGGGAAGUCAGGGGAGACACAGACCAUACCUGAGGCAAGGAAGGAACCCCACAGAGGCCUGAGGGUCAGGAGGGCAGACCCAGGGCACUUGGCUUGUGUGAGCAGCCACUGCGCUGGGAGCUAGGGCAGCCUGGGAGCCAGGGUGGCCAAGGCCAGUGGACAGCAGAGGAGCAGGAGGGCAGAUGGCAGGCAUGGGGAGCUGAGGCUGACACGCAGAACCUCCAGACUGCGUGCUUCUCCAGACCCCAUGGCUGCCCUGUCUCUCAGGUCACCUCCUGCUUCUCCAUCCCCUGCAGCUGGCCUUCUCUGGACCACUGCGAAGGCUGGGUCCCG